rnacentral:rRNA from 1 species
CUCUAUGCCUAUCACCCUGAAUGCUCCCAAUCUUGUCUACUCAGAAGCUAAGCAGCGUGGAGUCUUAUUAAUACUUUGAUGGGUGACCAUUAUGGCUUGCCACGUGUUGUAGGUG